rnacentral:lncRNA from 1 species
AUUUGCAUUGAUUGAGACGUGUGUAUAUAUAUAUAUAUAAAUAAGGGAUAAUGCCUAUAUACCCCUCGUACGUUUGGAAGUAUCUGAUUUAUUCUUUUUUUUUCUUUCUAAAAUAUUUCUUAUAUGUUCCAUCGUUAUUCCAAAAUACCCCCGCAGUUAUCUCCUGUUAGCUUAACUCGGGUUAAAUAUGGAUUAAAUAUAUUCUAAAGUUAAAACCUAAACAAAAUAUCUAUUUUGCCCCUAUCUUAUUAAACUAUUUUCUUAAGAUAUCCUCUCUUUCUCUCCCUCCCAACUUGCUCUCGUCGUCGUCCUCCUCCGC